UGCGCCAUGAUCAAAAACGCGCACCAGAGCCGCUCGUAUUUUUGGCUGUACCUGUAAAGGGCGGCCCGACAGAUCAUAUUGUCAACAAGCCGCCGUCAGGCGGCUUUGUUGUAUCGGCAGCGUCCUGACGGCAGAUUAUCAAGGACGCGAAGACCAUGACCGAAAUCGAAGACAGCGAAAUUUCACUGAUGCGCCCAUUGGUGGUGACGAUUC
rnacentral:sRNA from 2 species